rnacentral:sRNA from 1 species
GAAAAACUCGACGGUUCUUAUUGUGGUGGGACAGCGCAUGGGCAGGAUGGUGUAACCAUCCGGCGAUAGCCACCCAUGCGCUAGAUGACAGGCUCCCCAAGGAGCCUUUUUUUAUGCCCGAAA